rnacentral:lncRNA from 1 species
UCCCAUUUGCCUUUGCUUCACUUUUCUUUUUUUUUUGUUUCAAUAUAGCUGUUGUACCUGUAUGCCUAUGGUGGAACACUUGUUUCAUUUUGUUUUUUUUUUUUUUAAAUAUAGUCGUUUCCUGCAGUUAAAAUUUCAGCCAUGCAUUCGUUCCUAUUUUAUGUCAUAAUUAAGUUUUAUGCGUAUUUUUGUUUGAUAUUUUAAAUUAAUGUGUUAUGUAUUUUUAUUUAUAUUUUCAAUUUUAGUUGUGUGUUGUACGAAUUUGCUUUUCAAUAAUAUGUGCAUUUGAAUCUUAAAUCGUUUCAUCAUAAUUAUAUUUUAUUAUUUAAAAAAAUU